GUACUACGAAAGUGAAAGGUACCA
rnacentral:siRNA from 1 species